rnacentral:rRNA from 1 species
UGGGGAAUAUUGCACAAUGGGCGCAAGCCUGAUGCAGCCAUGCCGCGUGUGUGAAGAAGGCCUUCGGGUUGUAAAGCACUUUCAGCGGGGAGGAAGGUGGUAAGGUUAAUAACCUUAUCAAUUGACGUUACCGACAGAAGAAGCACCGGCUAACUCCGUGCCAGCAGCCGCGGUAAUACGGAGGGUGCAAGCGUUAAUCGGAAUUACUGGGCGUAAAGCGCACGCAGGCGGUUGAUUGAGUCAGAUGUGAAAUCCCCGGGCUUAACCCGGGAAUUGCAUCUGAUACUGGUCAGCUAGAGUCUUGUAGAGGGGGGUAGAAUUCCAUGUGUAGCGGUGAAAUGCGUAGAGAUGUGGAGGAAUACCGGUGGCGAAGGCGGCCCCCUGGACAAAGACUGACGCUCAGGUGCGAAAGCGUGGGGAGCAAACAGG